rnacentral:lncRNA from 1 species
ACUAAUUAAAGGACCAGGUGUAUUUAAACCCAUUUGCAAAUACCUUUGUUGUUAUGCUGCAUCUUAGAAGCUGGGUUCCUCCAACAGCACUUUUGGUCCAAGUGAGGGGGCUCCAAAGGGGUGAAGUUCGGUCUUCUGGUGAGCGGUGUAUCCAACUCUUGCAGGAAUGGUUGUAAAAAUUAGUUGCUCAGUUUUAAGUUCUUUUCUGUGAUUGAGGGCAUGAACUAUGCAAAUGUUCAUGGCAUUCAUCCAUGAUGAGCUCAGUAACACUAGCCAGAGGGACACAGGGGCUGUGUGAUGAGUUUAGAAAGAUAUGUGCCUGGGAACAGGCGAAAGCUGCUCAGGGUAUUUGUGUCCCAACAUCCUGGGUCCAUUACCUCCUGCGUUGUGUGAUUCCUCAGAUGCAGUUGCUCCUUAAGGUUUCAGAAAUGGAACAGAAACAACAAUAUCAUUCUGGUGUAUCGCUGCAAAGCUUACAGAUGCGUGUUGAACAAAAGUCUGAACAUGGAGCCAUGGCUGUAUGAGGAAGCUUGGUCUGCUGCAAGAUAGAGAAGAGCAAAUGUUGUGUUUGGCCACAGGAUGGGUUAUCAGUGCAUCACUGGCUUGUUCAAGCUUGUAAACUGAUAUUAUAUGUAAGUUUGUGUGGGUGAAUAAGGAAUAAAAGGAAGCAAACACUUAGGAUGAAGUUGGGU